CGGACGGGUGAGUAACGCGUAGGAACCUAUCGCACAGUGGGGGAUAACACGGGGAAACCGGUGCUAAUACCGCAUGUGGUCAGAGAUGAAGAAAGCGAGCAAUCGCGCUGUGUGAGGGGCCUGCGUCCGAUUAGCUAGUUGGUGGGGUAAGGGCCUACCAAGGCGACGAUCGGUAGCUGGUCUGAGAGGAUGGUCAGCCACACUGGGACUGAGAAACGGCCCAG
rnacentral:rRNA from 1 species